UGCAUUGCAAAUAAAUUAGUUUGUGUUCCUCUAUUUUUAAUUGUUUAUUACACACUUUUGCUUUGUAACUUGACCUUUGACAAAAUUAUUCAGUUUACACUGCUUCUUCUACUGUAGUGACAUUUUAGUGGUUACUAAAUAGAAGUCAUUGUAGAGCGACGAAAAAGAUUUACUUUUAGCGCGCCUAUAUAUGUAUUUGCAAUUAAUUAGCUUUCUAAGUAGUUCAAUUGAUUAGUAUUCAUUCAUUGACUUGAAUGCUUUUUCUGUUUCAAAUCCUCUCGCCCAUAAAUUUUUAUUGAGUCAAUUUUGUGCAAAUCUCGAAUACAUUUGAUCUUCUUGCUCCAUUUGUACUGCACACUGAUUGCCCUCAUUAUUGGCGCUAUCAUCUAUCAGGUGAGACGGAGGAGGAGUUCUCAACCAGGUUGGCUAAAAAUCUAGAAGAUCUUAUCCUCAAAGAGGGGCCUGAAACAAUAACUGCUUUCAUUGCUGAACCAAUCAUGGGGGCAAGUGGUGUCAUACCUCCUCCAGCAACUUAUUUUGACAAGGUAGUUUUUCUUUUGCCCUUUUGACAAGUUGGUGAUAAUUCGUAUGUAGAAUGCAAUAUAAAAGAUCUUGUGCAACAUUCUUGAGCAAAGGCUCAAAAGAAAGGAACUAAAGAAAUAUUUGGAGUA